AGGAAAAAGUUGUUUCAAAUCACCUCCCGAACCACCCCUUUCAAGGUGAUACAACAUUUUUGGGAUUUUUUAUUUUAUGUAAAUAGACCUUUAAUUCGCGAGAAGUGAUGGGAGUUUGGGGAAUUUUGUACGCCCUAGGGGGUGAUCCUGUAACUUUUGUCGUGGUGAAAAUGCGAGCCAACUCCCAAUUCUUGACUCUGUAACUUUCACCAUGGUGAAAAUGCGAGCCAUCUCACGGGAGUUUGUUCGAUAAAAAAUGUCUGCAGCAUCCUCGAUCACAUGUAUCAACGGCAUUACUCGAGAUACGAAAUUGAAUGACGUUUAACCUAUCUUUUAGAGAUACUAAUUGCAAUGAGAAGUUCAAUUUUCUCUCACCCACCACCAAAAUUUACUACGCAACGGCUUAGAACAAGGAGUUGUCAUUUUUUCUUUUCGUGGAAGUCGAUUUGAUGACAUGUUUUGGAUGUUUUGUGACUAAUGAGUAAUACACUUAUUACUAUGAAGACGUCGAUCAAAUUACUGGAGGCACUGAUUUUGAAAUUUGUUAUAACUAAUCAACCAAAAAUAUUUGAGAAAUAUACUUGAAAGAGAAAACUAAAACUUGUCAUUACAAAUAAGUAUAAUGUAUAGGAUGUAUGAUACAAAUUAUGAGAUGUAUAUAUUUAACAAAAUAAAAAAAAAGUAUUUUUUGCAUAAAAUAUAUUUUCAAUAAAUCAAUUCUAUUCUGUCCUUAUAUACCAAGUACAAAGAAAAUAUGUUUAUUAAAUAUAAAUGCAAAAGUAAAACAAAAUAUUAUUUGUUUAAAAUAUACUAUUUAUGUCAAGUUUAAAGAGCGAAAUUGUUAUUGAUCAAUCGUUUUUGGCACCAGUGCGGUUAUAAUACAGUACAAACAUUCUUAUAUAAAAUUCAUGGACUUAAAUGUAACAGCAAAUAAAAAUUCAAAAUUUUGUAUAAAAAAGGAAUAUUUAACGUAAAAAUGUAAACUAAAUUCUAAUAUUU